rnacentral:lncRNA from 1 species
UCCUGCCAACUGGAACCCCAUGAAUCUUACAAUCUUCUCAAACCUUAGUUUUAGAAUCUUUCAUUUCUUCUGUUGUGAUCCUUACAAUGACUCAGAGACCCUUUCGAGAGGCACACACCCUAAAGUAUAGGACACGCGGUAGCUCCAGGUUACCUUUAAGAGUUAUACAUAUACCUUUGAACCAGGAAAAGCCAGGUUUUCGAAUUGAGAUUUAUUACAGUGAUUGAAUAUUUCAGGUAGCACCUAGAGGAUCACAAAGCUGCUGCAGCCUGGACAGAAACCACAAAACUCCGUCCAAGCAUCAUGUCAAGAAUCUCCCCAUUCCGAUGCCUUAUGCUCUCUUCUAUGUCUACAGCAAAACUGGUUGAUGAGGUAACCCGGCCACGGCCCUGCUACGGUCGAAAUAAGAGCGGUGGGAAACUUGGGCCAGCCAAGGCAAGGCUGGAGUGAGAAAACAUCACACCCAGGCAAGGUAUCCAUCUAAUGCCAUAACUGUGGCCAUUUAAGAUGAGCUUCAGUUCUUAACGCGUCCAUCUUCCCAUUUUCAUUUUCAUUGUCAUUAUCUUCCUUUUCUUGUGGGCACGAUUCUUAGCUGCAACCUGUAGCUUCCUCUUGGCAUGCCGCACAGGGUUAGUAACAGCCAUGACUUUUCCCUCCCGCU